GCGAGGGCUCCCGCACGUGCCGGCGGGGCGGGUCCCCGUGCCGCGCGCAAGGCGCGAGGCGCGGCGCGGGCGACGCCGCCGCGGGGCGGGAGCGGCCGGAGCGCCGCGGGCUGCGCGGGACCGCGGGGCGGGAAAAGCCGGGAGGCACCGCCGUGGGUCAGCGGGGCCAAAACCCCUGCUCGAGCACGGCCAGCCUACGGCACGUGGCUCGGGAUUGCUUCCAGGGGCUCCUGGAUAACGGGGAGACUCCGCCGUCUCUCUGGGCAGCCCGUUCAGUAUGCCGCUGCUCGCUUCUGCCCCACGCCCGGUGUGGGGGAAAACGCGUAGGUCAAGGUACAGCAUAGCUCGGUAUGUGCAAAAAUGAGAGAAGGAAACCAGAACAAGUGUUCAGGCAGUCACUGUCCACUCCCCAAGGCUAUUCCAGUUCCCAAGAAAAAGAUGGUGUAUUUCCCUCUCUGCCCGGGAGCACGAUGUUAUGCAGCAUGGAGUACCGCUGUCCUUGCUUUAGUGGUGUCACCCGCCCCCUGUUUGGCACCCCCCCUAUUUGUUCACUGGGGCAACAGAGCAAGAAAUAGAAAAGGCCUGGGUGCCAAUGCAGUUCAGCAAUGCCAGCCCAUCCAGCCACUGUGAAGAACAUUUAGCCAGGUCCAGAUCUACAGAUAACAAAAUAUCUUAAAAAGGGAUGAUGGAGACUUCCAGCUGAAGAAGUGUGGUGUUGUUGAUGUCAUGUGGUGCUCAUACAUAUAUUCAGUAGUUAAAAAACCACAAACCCCUGUGUCUUGGCCUGGAAAUAGGCAGGGGUCUGGAACAGCUGGCCUUAAGCUUUUGAGAAGACUUUGCAAGAAUACUUUAAAAAAAUCUAUAAACCAGAAUGAUUUCUUCCUUCCAAAUAAUUGAUUGUGAAAAGGAGAUAUUUGGUAGAAAAUUAGCUUAUAUUCUGGGAAAAUAUUUCUGCAAUUCUCAGGGGAAUGGAGAGGAGACUCAGUGUCAUGGAGAAACAGAGUAACUGUAAAAGGCAGUACCAGAUUUCCAUUAGAGGAGCAAAAAUGGUUUAAAUCUAAGCAAAGAGUUGGAUGAAUGAUGAGAGUAAAAGAAGUUUUAAAUUUGCUGUGCCUCAUUGGGGCACAGGAUGAAGGUAAUGAUACAGGUCAGGGUCCAUUGAAGCAAAGAGUUCUCAUGAUACAGCCUCUAUACAACAUAAAACAGACCUGUACUUCAUAAAGUUUUAGGUUUUGUGAUGUAUUUUAUGAUGUAAAUUUUGCAUUCCUGUCACUUGAUUCUCACCUUGAUUCUCAUUUGUCAGCUAAGUCAGCCUUUACGUACGUUAGAAUUUCUUACCCAUUUUAUAUUGUUUUUAAAUAAAUAUUUUGUGGUGUAGAUUCCUUCUUACUAUAUGUUUAAAUCAGUGCAGAUGGCAGUGAGUGUAUACAGAAAGUUUGCAGGAAGAAUCCCUGCUGGGAUUCACAUUUACUGAGUAGGCUGCUUGUCAUCUCCGGGAACAUUAAGUGCACGCUGGACUGGUCUCCUAAAAACCUAUUCCGUGGGCAUCCAGGAAUGAGCUGCCAAACACACAGGAGGAAUGGUCAGAUAAGCUGUAGGGCUCCUGUUCUGAAGUGGAAGUAGGUGUUUCUUGAUUGCAACAGGUAAUCUCGAGUGGUAACAAAUCGAUACAGAAUCAUAAAAUGAUUUCGACUGGAGGCAGCCUCUGGAGUUCACUCAGUUCAAAGCAGGGCCAAUGCUACAGUUACAGUGAAUUUCUCAGAGACGCCCUCUCAGACUCUCCCCAGGUAUUGAGCUUUUGCAAUAGCUCCUCCCGAGUGGUCUCAUCAUGCCUCUGUUGUCAGCUCACUAUGAGGGAUGGUGGAAACCACUGAACAGUGCUCUCAGAAAAGGGAACAUAACAGAAUCAUAGUUGCUAAUUUAAUUGUUCUAUAAUGGCUCUGCCAUGCUAGAAUCAAGAUUGCAUUGGUCUGCUUAUUAAUUGCAUUUGUUGGAGUGUCUUCGCAGACACAGGUCUCCCUAGGUAAUAUUAACUUUUGCAUGAGGCUUUUUGUUGCUGCAUAAUUUGCAAAAAUUUGCAAACCACUUAAUCUUCACAGCAGAAAUUCUCAUUUUCAGACUGCUUUGUUGCAAAUGCAGUUUUCUAUUCUGUUCAUAGCAGGACAAAAUAUUUCCAUCCUGAGAUGCUGUAGCAAAAAUGAAUUUAUUUUGUAACAACAUUGCAGUUUCUUCUUCAGCUUUUCAAUUCCCCUGAAAAGCACACAUGCUACUACGGCUCAUAAUUAAAAAAUAGCCAUUGAUGUACACCUGCUGGUAUUUUUUAACAUAUGUUUUUCACCCACAGUCUCUUCAGAAUCAGUAAUGUUUACUGCCAAAGUUCAUUAAUUUGGACAACAGCCAGGAUAUCUUUGAUUUUACACUCUUCGAUGGGAGUGUAGAGCUGCGGGGGUGGAAACUCUCGGCAGAGGAGUGGUAAGGAACAACUGGAAGAAUGAUAAUGUCACUGAGCAGCCAGCACACCUGUCUGCGAGCUGAGUGCCAGCACAUGACUUACUCCUGUCUGCACCAUGGGUAUUGUAGCUUCUCCAAACAGAACCAGGUGGAGCGAGGACGACUUUGAAGAAUCACGACCAUGGAAAACCAAGUUCAGCAUGCCUGAAUUAAAGCAAAACAAAGCCCAGUGCACUCCCUACUUUGGACUUUGGUGUAUCCUACUUGCCCCUUGCCUAUGCUGGGCUUAACUCACACACAAAAUCUUUGUCCACACCUGAAGAGGCAUCAGUUUUAGAGUGAAGACGGCCAAAGCUGUUUCCUUGGUCCUGUUGCUCCAGCUGCCAGUGUAGGCAGGCUGUCACUGCUUAUCUGGCUGCUAAAUCUUUCACAGCUCCACAUGUGAUGUCUUACAAACAUUUUGGAAUGAACUAAUGUGCAGAUUUGCAAACUGCUCGUAUGAAUCUGUGCCUCUGCUUGCAGUGUAUCUUUUCAGAGCCAUGGCAGGCAACUGGCUGCCCAAAGUCAUGAAGUUUAGGGGAGCAGAGUGGGAAUGGGUUCCAAUCAGGGAUGCUGGACACCCUGAGUGACCAGUGGAUGGAUGGAGGGUGUGGGUAUGUGCAGCAUCUGGCAUUUCCGUGUUUUCUGUUCUCUGCCUAAGGGCUCAAUGAAGAUUGACCAGGGUUUGCAGUUAUUUUCAAGGGAAGGUGGAGUGGGCAAGUGGAUAUCCUGGUGCCUGGUGAUCUCUGGUGAAUGAGUAAAUGGACAUACAGUUCUGUGGAGGUGGUAAAAUGUACUGGAGGCUGGGAGAGAGGGGCUGUAACCAGGACACUCUGGAGGACAGAGGCAUGGAGUUAACCUGUGAUUAUUUUAGGAGAGUAAGAUAACUGAAGGAGCUUUUUCAUCCAAAACAGGAGAGCACUGUUCCACUGAUGCAAAGAGUCACUGAUGGCAAGUGAGAAGAUUUUCAGGCCUUUCUGUGCUUGGUUCUUUGUGAGAUGCCAGUAUUCCUGUCCCUGGCUGCUCAGGAGGCAGCAAGGGAGUGGCUGGAGGUACAUGGCUUCCACCCAGCUUCAGCUCUGCCCAAGACAAGGAAACCCUCAAGAUGAGAUAAGGCAGGUCCGAUAGGGAGCUUUCAUGUUUUCAAAUUUUCCUUUCCAUCCACAAGACAAACAAAAGAAAGGAAAAAGGAAAGUCUUGAGGAAAAAAAAAAGUAAAGGGUUGAAGAAUACCACUGAGAGUCACUAUUUUAAUUUUUUGCCAUUAAAAAUAUUGUUUUGCUUCUUUGAGAAAACACCAAUUGUUUAAUUGACCCCAAAAAGGAAAUGGAUUUUCUAUUAUUUUAUAAGAACCUGAUGUGCUGACAUUUUCCAUCCUGAACUAGAAUUAAAACAGCUGCAGUGAGAAAACUUAGUGUAUUUUAUUCAUCAAAGAACUGAGACUAUUUUGAGGGAGGGGUUGAGAGAGGCCAUAGUUUCAUGUUACAUUUUCUUUGUGAGCACUGCAGCACUGCAGCUCUGGGUGUGUUUUGUUUUGAUUUUUUUUUUUUUUUUUUUUGGAGAUUUUUUAGGGCAGUUAGAAGAUGGGCUCACUGAUCUGGUUUGCCAGGCUCACAAUCAUUGUUGGCACAAUUGCCAGGGCAGCAGGGAGCAGUGUAUGGGGGUGGGGCAGACAGGCCUGUCAGGCUUUGUCAGAGAAAAAAAGAUAACAUAAAACCAUAACAUUGCAUGCUUUUCAUAAAUGAAAUGCAGUCCUUUCUAGAACUAACUAGGAUGUGUGGUUAACAGUAUUCAUUGACACUGUACAAAAGCAGAGGCUGGGAGGAGAGGAAAAAUCCAGUCCUGAAGGAAGAGACCUAUGUUUAUUAUCUGGCUGUAUUGAUACUCACUAUUUGGGGUUGGGCUACAUGUUUUAGUAAAUGCUCCCACAAGGUCAGCUCUAGAAAAUAGAGCUGUUUGUUCUUUGAGAUAACUGCUGAUUGUCUUGGGAUGCAAAAACUUCAGUGUCCCAUGACAUUUUGGGAACUGUCUUAAAUUUGCCUUAAAUCUGUAUUUGUGUUCAAAGGAGAGACGGGCUUGAAACAAUGUUUCUUUAUGCAGAGGAACUUCACUUCUAUCCAAAAUAAUCCAAGUCAGGUAGCUGAAAUAAUUUGUGUUGGUGACUGUUGAUACAGUAAAGGUCCACGGAUUAAUGUUGCAUAGCCACUAUUUGAAUAGCUAGGAGAACAGGUUUCUUGCAUGCAUCAGUUAAUUAAGGGACAAAUUCUAAAGGCAACUGAGCAUGAAUUACAGUAAGGCUGAAUUCCUGUCAUCUGAGUCACCCAUAGAAGGAGGAAUUCAAGGAGUUCUUGUGCAAACACACACUUAGCCAGGGUCUGGAGGCUGCCUGACAUGCAGCAAGGCAGCUGGGACUGGCCAAGGAGGGAGGACACCCCAUCUUUAUACACUGAUGUGGUCUCAGAGACUCUGUCCAAGCUGGAGCACCCAGGGGUGCUGUCAGAGUCCCACAGUGGAAGUGAUUUAUCAACAGGAAACAUCAAGAUCAAGGACAUGAGGGAGUGCAAGUCAGUGGUUAUCAGAUGAAUGUUCUGUGUUAAAACAUGUUCGUAAAGAAAGACUUAAAGACACAAAUAGCCACAUAUUUGUCUUACACUUUUCCCUUUGAAAUCUGAGGCCUGUAAAUAACUGAAGAAGUAGAUCUAUCCUGACAAGAAUUUUUGCAAAAAGUGUAACAGCACAAAUCUACAGCAGAAAUCUAAUUCUUAGAGUAAAACUCUGAUUCUCAAUGUAAAGGCUCAGGUAGAAGAAUACUGAAAUGGUGUGUGACCUGUUGGUCAAUCAAUAUAUUAAUUCUCAGAUUCAUAAUGCUAUCAAAACAUUUUCAUUAAUUGCUGACUUGUAGAAAUAAUCAAUUAAUUAUUUCAUAUUAAUUGAUUCAUAGAGGAAAUAUGUAUAAUCAUAUAUUUUUUAAAAAAAUUAAUUCUGAUGAGUCUACUUUUUUAUGGAAGACAAUCAAAAUGGAAUUAGUCUUGGGCAAAAUAAAAAAAAAAAAAGGAGAAAGCAACAAAUAGCAAUCAAAAUCUGAAACAUUUCAAGCAUUUCAAAGAUAUUUUACUCCUCUAAAGGAGAUGAAAUGAAUAGAGGAAGACAUAUACAAUGCUCCCACUGGGUUUUGGUUAUUUAUUGGUAUUUUAAAACUAAACAGAAAUUACAACGAAGAGAAAUUUAAAAAUCUAAUCUGAGAAAAGUAAGAUUGGUAUUAAUGAACUGUAACAGAACAUUAUAUACUCAAGUAUUAAAGAACUAACAUUUUCAGUCUAGUGCAUGCUAUAGGGAAUAUGUGUGUGAGUGUUUGUAUUUGUGUGUUUGGACACAUAUACGAAUAUAUGCACAAGUAUUUGUGAAAAAGAGAAUACACACAAGUUGUGAUGGAAAAAGUUUUUAAAAGGCAAAACCCAGAAGUGCAAAUUAGGCAGAAGGAGACUGUUUUGAGAACCAAUAACUUCUGUUUCUAUUUUGCUUGUUACAGUCAAGCCAAUACACCUAGAAGUAAAGGAAAGCAGUUGCUGGAGGAGAGCUGUGAUCUCGAGCAGAAAACACCAGACAAACAGCCCGUUCUCAGUCAUGCAGCUUAACAAAACACAUUGCUGUCCUGUUUCUGUGAAAUUUCUCCUCCGCCCCGUGUCCCAGGUACACAGAAACCCAGGGCCACAUUCAGAGGUCUGGAGGCCUCGGGGAUGGCAGGUGUGUGUGUCCUGGCUGCCAGUACCCGCAGCAGUGCCCCUCUGCCAGCUCUGGCUGCACAGAUGUGCUGCUCUGCACGGACCAGCUGUGCACGGCCCAGCAGCAGGAUCCCUUUCAGACACAGCUUUGACUUCAAGUCCUGCUGGCCACACGUUGAGAUAGAGCAGCUAAAAGGCUGAAUCCACCUUCUCAUCUGGCUUUUAAGCUCCUUUUGGGAAAGGCUGAAUGCAUCUGCUUCUGGCUUUGAAGCAGCUUGCAUCCAGUGCUCAUAGCACGUCCAUAGCCUGAGCUGUAUCCAACCUAGUUUGUGCUGACCUUCUACUGUCAGGGGGUUUUUAAACACAGUUGGACAGAUAUGGCAGCCAGUUUGAUGUCUGCAGUUUUAAUAAAGCCAAGCACUCACACCAGUGCCUGAGCUGCAGGAGGACAGGCUGUGGUGUCAGACCUCAUGUGGUUUUGAAAUAGUUUCUUGUGGCAUGUGUGAUAGCACAGCAGAAACCAACUCCCUCAGGCUUCUAAACACCAGUACUGCAUGUGAUUUCUGUAGGUAAUGCAUCCUUCCUGUGGUCCCUGAGUCUCUGUGCUACUGCAGUUGCAUAUUAAUCUGAAAUUUAAACAUAGCUGAUGCACAGAGAGCCUCCUGACCAGUUAGGUUUUUUCUGUCUUUGUAUGUCUGUACAUUAUUAUGUGCUGACUUUUCUGUUUUGAUACUAAUAUGUUAACCAGGUGGAUGUGGUGUCAGGCAUAUGGUAGGGUUUACCUUUGGCAUCUGCUGGCAGAACUCUCUUCCUAAGGAAAUGUCAGAGGGGGAGUCGCAAUGGACAUAUUGUUCCCCUCACAACCCGUGGCCUCUCCUCACUGGGAGUAAUUUAUCUGCUACAUCCUUGGCAGAAACAAAAGCUAAAGCUCAGUAGAGUUGCAGUAUUUUCACUCAAGAUUUACUUUUAAAACAGCAAAAAAAUGUAAAUAGGAGAUUAUUUAGGAGGGCUGAGUGUUUGAAUUUUUAAAUUUUUUUUCAGAGUGCUCUGAUCAUGCUGUGAGUGAGAUCAGUGUAAAGUAAGGCAUGAAAUGCAGCAUCCCAUGUAGUGAGUAGAAAGUGUGCCACUUACUUUGCAGCCAGCAGACAACAAAACUUGUAAUACCUAGUCCAUUAUACUAUUAGAAACAGGACAGCAGCUAUGUUGAAGACAGCUGUGCCUUCAGGAAAAGCUCAAAAACCACUUCUAUCCUCAGAGAACGUGGAAUUUUUUCUCUCCAAACAGCCACCCUGAGUAAAAUGUAUUCAAAGCCCAGGCUGAGCACAUUCCAAAGACUGAGGAAAAGGGAACUCCCUCACCCCACAAACCCAGGGGCAGCUGCUGCUAUCUCCCCAUCUCUCCUGCUUCCAAGCCACAGUGCAGCAUUCCUCCUGCCUUCCUGCCUGUGCCGGCAGUGCAGGCGAGGCAGCAGACACCUCCCUGCUCCUUGGAGAAGCUUUUCCCUGGAGCUGUGAAGGCAGUGGAAGAGAGCUGGGACAUCACUCCUUAGCUGGUCCAUUGCCACUGUGUGCACAGCACACACAGCAAAACGCCACGUGGUUGGGUUUGCUUUUCUUUAGAAAAAGACUAUACAAUGAAUAAAUGAAACAACUAAUGAAUAAGUUCGGUGUGAUUGCCCUGGAGGCUACUUCCCUGAUUAUGCCCCACUUGUGAAUGCUUUUCUUCUUUAUGGAGGUGAGAGAUGUAAACCAGGCUGAGAGAAGUCUAGUUUGUGCUAGCUUACACUUCCUUCAGCUUCAGAAGGCUUUGUUUUUUGCCGUUUCUUAACACUGUGCCUAGGUAAAUUGAGUGCUUAUAAAACUAAAUACGGCUUUGGUGUUACAGGAUGACCCUGAUGACUAGCAAGAUUUCUCAUUUAUCCAUUUCCCAGCAUUUUCUGCUCCUAAAACCACCUAAAUGUAAUUAUUAUUAGAAAUGCUGGGAGAAUUGGUGAGAAAGUCAGAAAGCAGUAGAGAGGAAUGGGUUGGUUAGUGGUCACACCAUGAGUGUGAAGCAUCUUUUUCUAUACCUUAAGUCCCUCUGUGCAACAGGAAACACUGAACAACAAUGUCAUCUCUUUUAUUCAUAUUGCAGUCUUUGUACUUUGUAGUUCAUUAAAAGGUGGUCAUAAAUGGGAAUGACUUGGGGAAAUAUAACUGGCUUAAGAUCUUCUCCGCUUACCCAGUUCAACUGGUUUGUUCCUCCAGAAAGCAGGAUUUGGCAUCUCCUGACCUGUCAGGAAGAUUUCCAGGCUGCUGAAGGUUUUAUGUUCCAACCCCAAAAUCUGGCUAGUGAUAUCCAGACUGGAAGUAUUAAAUAUUUGAUCACUUGGUAUUGUCCUGAGUUCCCAUCUCAACUGAUGGACAUCAUAGGCUUGUUUUGGGGAUGGAUCAGGUUUAUUGACUGGUGGAAGUGCUUGGACCCUGGCCAUGUUAUCCAGGGAGCUAAAGAGGCAUAGCCAAGAAAACAGGUGUUGCAAUUCAGAACUGUGCUCUGUCCUUGGCUCUGUCACAGAAAUUUUGGACAAGCUGCUAAAAUCAAGCUUUUCCAAAGUGGCUACUGGUAGUGUUUCACUCUGCCAGACUGCCUGCUUGAGAGCUGGCUGCUUCCUUCAUGAAAAUAUUGUGGACAUCUCUGACUGCAUCUCAGCUGUCAGCUGUGAAAUGAGAAAUUCACAGCAAUUCUCUUAGAGGCAAUGUGAAAAACAAAUUAAUUUGGGGUUGUGUUCUACUUGGAUAAUAGGAUAACGCUUCUUCAGGACAGCCUGGGAACAGAUUAAUAAUUCUUCCUUCAGAUAAGGGUCUCAGUAGUGUGUAGGAGGCAAGGGAAGGGAGACUUAAAACUGGGGAUAAAUCAAAUGUUCAUGUGCCUCACCUUCCCCUUCCCAGCUGGGCACCAAUUCCAGCAAAAUAGUUUGUUCUUGUGUGACUAAAGAACAGCCAUAGUGUAAAUGCAAUAUCUCAUUUCUGGCCUUUUAGUCCUAUCUGUUGUUUGUAAAUAUUUCACUUUGCAGCUUUUAAUGUUCUUUUAGGCAUGUCUUUUCAAAUGGCAACUAGUAUUAAACCCCUCCAAAUUCAUCUAAACAAAAUUAACAUCUCAUUUCAUUGAGGAAAUAGCAAUGUUGUCAGUACUAGCAUCCUCAGGAAAUAAAAGCACAUGGAAAUAAAUGAAAAUGGUGGGAAAGGUAUCCUCUCUUCCAAGGAGGUGUUACUUUAUCUUCAAUUCUUCCAAUUUACUGCAAAUGCAGUAAAUCUCCUUUUGCUUUGGUAUUCCAAUUGCCUUCUCCCACUCCCAAGGGAUUCAUGCAGGGCAGAGGAGGAGGAAGUGAAAUGGGGUGGUGCAGUUUACAGGCAUUUUAUAGCUGUAACUCAUUAACGAAGAACCCGUCUCCACUGAGUGGAACAACUUUAAUGUUCAUUUUGCCCUUGACAUUUUUCUUACACUGGCGCAGGUUUAAGGUGAUGCCUACUUUGAAUUUCAUUGUAAACCCACUUCUAAUUAUUUUUUCCCCCUUUUUUGAAGUAGGAUGUCUAGUUAUCCAGUAAGUGGCAGCAAAUGGCUUAAAGAUUACUGAACAGUAAGUUGUUAUCCAGUGAAUCUUUGACCAGUGAACGAACAAAAGUCAUGGAUUUCUGUACAUGACUACAGAGGGUGCAAGAGGAAGGAGAGCUAUGCAUUUUCCAUGCUUGUUAACCCCCAAAAAGAUCUUGCCUUUAAAUUUUGUAUUUGUAGAAUCACUGCUGUUCUCAAGGCACGUUAGCAAAAAACUGUGCUAAAUUCAGUCUGAAAGAGUUCAAGCUGCCUAAGCAAAAAGAAGGUUUUUGGUGAUGUCUUAUUCACAUAUCUCUUGUAGGUGGUGAGGAAAUAUAAAACUGAAGAAAACAAAAAAGAAGGAAAACCAAUGGCAAAUGAUAUGCAAAACCCACUUUAUCUCAGGGUUCUUUUAAUAUUGAGCAAGCAUGCACAAGGCUGAGACAGACAUAUGGAUGACAGGGAUGACUGUGAACUACAAGUGACCCACAGCAACUAAAAAGGGAGUCAUGCAAUGAAGCUGAUUCUAUAAGAAGUGCCCUUCAAUGACAUCCACUGAGAUUACCCUUGAAAUAGAUGACAGAUAACGGAUCCUGCCGAAUCCAUCAGGACCACUUGAAACUGCUGUGAUUGGGUAAGGGAUUGGAGCCAUCUCCAGCAGGGCAGGUUUUACUGUAUUCAACCACAAUUUAGUUCUCUGUGGGUUUAGGUGGUACAGCGUCUUCAAUUUUGAGUGUUGUUCAAGUACACCUUGAAAAGAGGUCAGGUGCAGACAAGUUCUCCCUUCCCAGCUGUGAUAGCACAGUUUAGGAUGACUGUAUAAUUCUAAGGCUUGGAUUUCUGCUCUACUGAUGUGUAAAAUUCAAGAGGAUAGUUUAAAGCUCUAGCAAAGUAAUAACACCUAAGGUUUUGGUUUUGUCAUGAUGAAGUCCCAGACUGCAAAUCUGUGUGUGCUGAUGAUAUACGAGAGGUAGCAAAUAAACUUCCAUCUGGAAGGGAUUACCUUAGUCUCUCAUCUAACCUCUUCUGUCAUAGGCAACCCUGUCAUGUUCACUCAGAAAGGUGUUUCUCAAAAGGAGGAGCCAAUGCAGCUGCAUUGCCUUGUUGCAGUGCAGCAGCACUGUUGCGUUGCACAGCACUCUCCUAUGUCAAGGAUCUCAGCCCAAAGCAGAGGCUUCCUCUGAGCUUCUGUUGUCUGAAUCUCAUUUUUAAACCUGUCUCUUUGCAUGAUGGAGGUCUCUCUGCCAUUUGGGUGUCCAGCUUCCUGCUGGGCAAUAAUUGCAGGUAGAGUGGGAAGUGAGGAUCAGCACCAUUUGCUGGGAACGACAGCCUGCAGUGCGCUGGGGCCAUGAGGAUGGAAGAGGAGAGGCAAGAGAGCACAGUGGAAGAAUAAAUAAAGACACAAUGAAAAAUAGUAAAAGUGAGAUUAAGAGAUAAAAAAGAAGAUAAAGAUAUAAAAUCUCACAGGCUGUACAGGUGAAAAGAGUAAUAUUUGAGGUUUCAGAGGAUGCCUAGGCAAAACCUUGCAGUUUGAUAUUCACAUUCCCCUUUGUCUCACAACUACACCUCAGGAGAUGCAUCCUGUGGUCAUUCUUUUCUUUUCCAUGGUCAUUUCACAUUUUCACAGAUAAAAAAAAGAUGUCAGAGUAUAUAAUUGUAAAUAUAGAUGAUACUAACAAAUGUCUCAUGGUUGUUCUGUAGUUGACAUCUCUGUAUGGAUUUUGCUCCGUUGCUCCCAGCUUCACAGAUGCCAGGUCACAGUUUUCUGUUUUAAAGUUUUAUAGGCUUUUAACAGUUGACUUUCUCCAUCCCCAUCCCCAGCUAUUGCAAUCAUCAUCACUACUGAAGUGCACAAAAGAGGAAAAUGUGGAUUUUUGCUAUGGAAAGAAAUUUUUUGUUUUUCAGAAAAGAUGUCUAAGUGUUGUCAUAGUCUCUACUGUUGGACAGCACUAGAUAGUGCACUGUUUUCAGUGUGAUGGAGUCAGAAAGGGGCAGUGGUGAUGAUGCUAUAAGAUGAAGGCUUCUUAGUCAAGCUGUAUGGCUUGCUUUAAAUAUUCUGGUUCUUUCACACCAGCCAGGGCAUGCUGUGCUGUGCUCUCUGCGUUGGGCAGGCUGGUGUGUAAUUAACCACACAGGAUGAUGCAUGAGGAAAAAAGACAACCAUUAAUCAAGACAAUCUAGGAAUAGCAGUGAAAACAACCAUAUAAUUAACAGCCUUUUAAUUACUUUUAUUAAAUCCUGGUUGCCAGUGUUCUUUAGCGCCACUCCUACAAAUCUGAGAGGUAAGCUACAGGGUGAUGAGAAGCCUGGCCAAGGUUCUGUACCAGGAUAAGAUGGCACUUGGUGCCAUGGCUACUAGCCUGUGGCGGAGGGUGGUCGUGGCUUUGCGACCUCCAGCAGCGACAUGCUCACCAGGAGAUGGCAAGCUGCUGAGGAACAUCCACAAAGCAGCGUGAUUUCUUGCUGUGGUUUCCUGGAAGACAAGCAGGGUAAGUACUAAGCAACUUGACUAUUUCACAUCCCUGGAAGUGUUCAAGGCCAGGUUGGAUGGGGGUCUGAGCAACCUGGUCUAAUGAAAGGCAUCCUUGCCCAUGGCUGGAAAUAGAUGAUCUCAAAGGUAUCUUCCAACUAAGGCAUUCUAUGUUUCCAUAAUUAUUUCUGAAAUGUCCCCUUUGCCAGCUUGCUGAACAGGAGAAUUCACAGUGCUUCCCACAGGUCCAGAGAGUGGCAGGCACUUUAGCUCAAGGUUUAACCUGCUUCCCUGGGGAAACUGUGAUUUCCCAGUGACUGUUGAACUUGUCCAGCUGCAUUUCAAAGAAGGACUUGAAAAGACACCGCUGAUCUUAUAGGCUUUCCAUGAAGGUCAGCUACUGUGUAAAUAAGAGAGACACACAGCCACCUCCUUCCUCAAGAGGGUGGUCAUCACCAGCAGCUCUCCUACAGCAGCAGCGAUGCUGGGGCUGUGGCUGGGUCCAGGGAGACAAUCAGGUGUUGGGGGGAGCUGUGAGGGAAGGUGUUGGUAUCAUGGGAGUCUGCUAAGGAUGAGAAUUUGAGCUUUCAGGAUGCAAAUCCACUGGAAAAGCAAUAUUCAUUAAUUUGCUGCUUACAAGAAACAUCCUGAAGUCGUUCUCACAGAGUUUUCUCAUCUGCAGUGGAGGCUGAGGUUUUUGUCAGGAAAGAGUAGUGAAGACA